GCAAUCGACAGUUUGACCUCAUGCUAGGGCAGCCUCAGCCAGUUGCCUCUUCUAUCAAAGUGCUGAUGGAAGACAUCCUGAGUCCUUAUUGCAUGCUAGAGAACAACAACUAUCUUGUUGGUGAUUCCCCUGAUAUUUGGUUCUACAAGUGUGGCAUAUGGACCAAUGAAAGCAAAGAUAUUCUGAAUGUAAUAGCUAUAUGGGUUGUGCCAAAUGGUUUAACAGUGGAAGCGUCACGCUUAAGUACCUGUGGAAGUGUACUAUGCAAGCAUUAUCAGACAAUGCAAUGACACCCUGUUUGUACAUUCACACCCUUUGAAUGCCGCAAUCAGACUAAGAAGAUGCCUAAA